GAGAAGUGGGUUAAGUCCCGCCACGAGCGCAACCCUUGUCGUUAAUUGCCAUCAUUUAGUGGGCACUUUAACGAGACUCCCGGUGACAAACCGGAGGAAGGUGGGGAUGACGUCAAGUCCUCAUGGCCCUUAUGGGUAGGGCUUCACACGUCAUACAAUGGUCGGUACAAAGGUCGCCAACCCGCGAGGGGGAGCCAAUCCCAGAAAGCCGAUCGCAGUCCGGAUUGCAGGCUGCAACUUCGCCUGCAUGAAGUCGGAAUCGCUAGUAAUCGUGGAUCAGCAUGUCACAAUGAAUACGUUCCCGGGUCUUGUACACACCGCCCGUCACACCAUGGGAGCGGGUUCCGCCAGAAGUAGGUAGCCUAACCGCAAGGAGGGCGCUUACCACGGCGGGGUUCGUGACUGGGGUGAAGUCGUAACAAGGUAACCGUA
rnacentral:rRNA from 1 species